rnacentral:lncRNA from 1 species
GAAUUCGUAAUCUUCCGCUUCACAUCCACGGCCUUGGCCUUCACAUUCGCCUCCUGAAUCCCAUCGAGACACGUCUCGUCAUCCGUGAGGGCGGCGCUCAGCCACGUCUGGGCAUUGCUCAUCUGGAAUCGAAACGUCUCCUUCCGGAGGUGGUGCAGCUCGGCGAGCGUCUCGCUCAGCUCGUCCACCGACGUCGACAUCAGGUCCACGCAGUCGCCGAUCGCCGAGAGCUGCAGCUUCGUCCCCUUGAAGGAGGCGGAGAGCUGGGCGAGGAAGCCGGAGACGCGGAGUGAGCGGGCGAGGCUAACGUUCACAGCGGCCUGGGCGAGGUCGCGGGGGGUCUUGGCGGGGCCGGCGUAGUUGGAUAGAGUGCGGAGGCAGAUUUUGGGGUAAGUGGCGUGGCGACAUGAUGAACGGACGAUAUUUGAUGCUGGGUGGUGUUUCCCUGCGGCGGAGGCGGAGUACAGCGAGCAGAAGAGGAGGACGAGGAGAGGGAGAAGAGAGAGUAGGAAACGCAUCGAGGAGGUGAGUAGAGUGAAGAUUGAAGAGUGUGGAAUUAAUCUGUGGCAGUGUUAGUCUGGUCGCUGGGGGGUGAGAGGUUGGGUAUAUAUAGGGGGCGUCUGUAGUGAACCAGUGACAGUGGGAAAGUAAACGGGCAAAUCUCCGUUUUAGACUAGGAAUGUUUAACAUUAGGUUAGCCUUGCCUUCCAAUAUCUUUCUAUUCGUUUAGAUAUACUUUUAAAAUAAUUGAAAACGUUUUUAGUGAAAAUAUUUUUAGAUUCCAAAAGCAUUUUAAGUGAUUUCUGCAAUAAACACUAAUUAUGUGCUUCUUUCAAGAAACACUUUAAGUAAUUUUUCAGGAUUCACUUGUAUUUUUACUAAGGAUUGAUUCAAAAAAUAUUAUCACCAAAAAUACUUUCAGUUAUUUUAAAAGCACAUCCAAACUAGCCUUUAAUAGUUUAAUACAAAACAUAGAUCACGUUAAUGUUUUUAAACUAAACUGCUUUAACAGAAGAAAAUAUAAAAAGAAAACAAAGAAUAUUGACAUUCAUAUUUUGCUGUCCGAUCAAGGAAUGAUUAAAAUAACUUUUUAUAUAUAGCGUCAUUCAAUAAUUCACUCAGGACAUUCGAAGAUAUAUUUUUAUCGGUUCACAAUUUCCUUACUUUUGUAAUCUUCUUUCCAAUAUGAGGUUUGGUUUUUCUCGUUUUUCUUUGUAUUGAUUCCAUCUAGGUAUUAUUCUUCUCGAUCACAUCUUAUUGGUCACUUCAUUUGAUUUUGAAUCAUUAAAACCUGUAUUGCUAUUUCUUAUUUACAGAGGAUAAACAACCCAAAAUCCUAGCCAUGCUCUUCUUUUUUUUCAACGUACAUUCAUUAAUAAGAACAUCAUUCAUCAUGAAUACAAUUCAGUGAUUACAAAUGCAACAAAAAGACAAUACAAAUUUUACCCCAUAUAACCGUAAAUCUAACCAAACGGAAGGAUAACACUCAUAAAGACAAAAUCUUGCUUCACUUUCUUAAUAACUUGCAAAAGACGACGCUCAUUCGACAAAUAAGUCAUGCUACGAGACAUCACGGAGAUGUCUUCAUAGUCCUUUGCCAAAAAAAACAACAAACAACGAAACCACAACCAAAACAAAAUAAACUCUUCAAAGGUACGAUUCCUCAAUCAUGGGAUACCCGCACCUAACUAACAAGAAAGAUAAGCUCGCAAUGCCUAAACCCAAUGAGCCGGCUGGACCUAACACCAUCAAGACUCGCAAGGUAAACAUCCUACCAUCACCUGAAGAAUUUGCAACGACAAUAAAACAUGAUUGUGAAUCCCUCAAACCACUGCAACAACCCCUCAAACGAAAGACCACACCACCCUUUGAUGACAAGACUCGCAGGGUAAACAUCCAACCAUCACCUGAAGAAUUUGCAACGACAAUAAAACAUGAUUGUGAAUCCCUCAAACCACUGCAACAACCCCUCAAACGAAAGACCACACCACCCUUUGAUGAUCUUCAAAUAGUCAACAAUCUUACUAUGAGUCACCUCCAACAAACGUGAGCUUCUUCCCAUAAUCCUUGCCAAAAGCACAAACCACAAAAUCACCACUUCAAAUUUGAACAACAAAUAUCACUUUUAAAAUCUGAAGUUGAGUAAUAAGUUAUUACCGCAACAAAAACUCUCAUCCUCAACUAUAAAAACUCUCCGCGACAAAACAAGCAAAAAAUAUGACUUUUCUCUUGGCGUCCGAGUAUCACCUCCUCCCUUUUCCAUUAUGGUGCGUUUCCUUUCCCUAUCUCGGUUUACUUUGUAUUGAUACCGUCUCCUGUAUCAAGAGAAGAAUACAUUACUAUCUAGUUAUUAGUCUUCUCCAUCACUUCUUCAUCGUCACUUCAAUCACAUCUUAACCGUCACUAAAUCGUUGAAUUUUUUUUUUUUUUUUCAAAAACCUACCCACGAUUUCACUCUCUAAUAUUGUUCUUGAAUUUAAAGUUGAAGACAUUAUUUCAAGUUUCAACCACUUCCCGUAAUUCAACCAACCCAUGUCUACAUUGUCCACGUAGAGAUUUCCAUCACCAGACUAUGUACUAUUUUAGAAUGAUAAAUUAAAUGGCAGUAUUGCUAUUUUUGUAGUGCUCAAGUGUCUUUUCUUGUUUAUGGAAUAGUCCUUACCAACAAUGAAGAUCAAAGUAACACUCAAACCGACAUUGACAGCUAUAACGAGUGCUUUUAUAAGACGCACUUCUGUUUAUAUAAAUUCCUUAAACCCAAUUAAAUUGCAUUUUUUGUGUUUUCUUCAAUUAACUUUACAUUUUUAUUUCAAAUGUUAUAUGAUAAAUGGUUUUGAUUUUUUCAAAAAGCUUUUUUUUAAACAAAACGAUAGUAUUUACACUAAGAGAAAUGAUGUGGGCUUAGUCUCACAAUGAGCAGGCAAAAUGUGGUUCAAAUUCGCCUUUAGCGAAAAUCAAACCUAAAACCUCUCGCUUACAAGUAAAUAACGUUUUUAAUCUUUCUAAAAGCACUAACAAACAAAUAUUAGUUAUUUCAAACAUGUAAUAGGGAAUUUAAGCGCCCCGAUUUGUGGCUAUUUUGCCUAGUUUUGGGGACCAGUGAAGGAGAUCCAAAUAAAUGCCCUGGUAGAAUAGCUCACCUUUCAGCCCAUCACCAACCAACUAAAAUAUGCAAACGUGUAUGUAUUAACCAAUAACCAAAGUCCACGACCAUCAUGUACGGUGCAAGCGCACCCUCUUACUUUGCUCCUCUCUCUAAUGGCGUUGUGUCACCAAUUUGUUUUCAAGUUUGUAACCAAGUGGUAUUCAAUACGUGAGGGGAACAAACGAAGACGGAUAUCCUAUUUUUCGGGAACAUAUAUCAUCGGCGACGUCUCCAAACUAAUCAUAAAUAACUGAGAGUCGUCCACCAACACGUAAACAACAAGAUCUAGAAUGCAUGAUUUACUAAAACAUAUAUAUGUAUUGUACAGUAUGAACACAUAAGCUCUAGCUUGUACACUAGAAACAAUGCGUCGAUCAAUGAGAUUGAUUGGCAUGGUUUAACCCUGCAAGAAACGUUGGCGUAAAACUUUUGAUUUUAUUUUUUAUGUUGCAGUAUUCAUUAAUCAUGCUUAUCAUUUAAAGACGUCAACAUUUAUUUAUUGAAAUAAGUCUGAUGAGAGAACGUUAUCUGUUUAAAAUUGUUGGGACUUCACAACUAAUUAUUUGAUGUGUUAUAGAUUAAUGAGAUGUAUUAGAAUUCGAAAAGCUUCGUAUUUGCACGAAAGAAUGUGAUGGGGUGGUGGGAGUUUGAUGGGGAAACAUGGGACCCUUGAUUUUUCAGGAAUUAUUUGCUGAAUUCCGAUAAGAAACGAAACCUUGUGAGCCCAGCAGAGCAGCAUUCCCAAGAAUUGGACAUGUAAGUGGUGAAAGUUCUGAAACAAAGCAUGUGAAUUGCAGUCUGGAAUCCGCUAUAAAAAUUCCUACCCCACUCUUUAAAUUGCACGAUGUUUAUAUAUAUAAUAUGUCAAUAUCUUAGGAUUUGUUUGUAAAUGUUUUUAAAAUGAUUAAAAUCGUUUUUUGUGAAAUUAUUUUUGGAUUCCAAAACCACAUGAAAUUCUUCUUACAAAAAACAUAUAAUUGGUGUUUCUUGCAGAAAGCACUUCAAAUAUUUUUUCAAGAUUCACUUAUAUUUUUACUAAAAAUUGGUUCCAAAAACACUUUUAAAGAAAUUGCUUUCAUCAUUUUAAAAACAAUUUCAAACUAACAUUUAUUUAUUUGAUAAACACAUUAUGCGCUGUCAAUUUCUGUAGGAAAUUUCAUCAAACUUGUCUUCACAAGUUUUGGUAAACACAAACUAACUAAAACUCGUGGGGAUAAGAAGUAUAGAGAUGAAAUGUAGAGAACCUGUGGGAAAGAAAUUCUAUAUGUACUAAAACCCGUGGAGAAAUCAAUGUAGCUUAGUAACAGUGCAUUUCCAGUUUUACACCCGCUUAUUUCAACUUCGCCCCGUUUGCUUCCUUCUUCUAUGCUCCUCCCCCCUCGUGUAAUAUGCCAAACCUUCAUCUUCAACUCGACCUCCCCCUUCACAAACUCCCUCCGGUCCCUUUUCUCUAUAAAUUGUAAUCACCGCCACCACCAGUUCGCUCAAACUUUGUCUAUAAAGCCUCUUUAAAUGCACAAGAAUUGAGAUUUUUGUAUCAUCAACAACAAAGACAUGAAAGUUGUCGCAAGAAAGAAGAUUACCUGACAAAGAGGAGGUUUUCUUGGAUUCUCAUCGUCUCUUGGGCCACCACUUCCACCUUCAUUUCCAGGUGCCUUUUAGGACCUGAUGUUGAACAGAAAUGAUGCCAACCGAAAGCAUUGUAACUUUCCCAUUCAACGUUGCCACGUUGAAGGCAAUAACGACGAGAAAUUUUUGAAGUCAAGCAAGAAAUCAAUGGCUUCUCCCGCAUAAAAAGCAUUUUUCUCACUCUCUUUUACAGUGGAAGAAGCUAUUGAUUUCUUUCUUGGCUUCGACAGUAUCUUCAAAAAUUUCUCCGCCGUUGUUGCCUUCAACAUGGGGACGUUGAAUGGGAAAGUUCCAUUAUCGAGGGGUGUUUUCUGUUCAAUAUUAUGGGGUCCGCAAAAAUGCACCCUGAAAAUGAAGGUGUUGGUGGUGAUCCAAGAGACGAUGGAAAUCCAAGAAACCUCCUCUUUUUUAGGUUAUCUUUUUUCUUGCUAUUAUUUUCAUGUCUUUUGCUGUUGAUCAUGCAAAAAUCUCAUUUUUCACGACUAAAGCUUGUAAGCACAAGGCCAUAUUAGAUGACUUGUAUGUCUGAGACUCUGAAUUGCCGUUACUAAACUUGUGAUUGCAAGAGAGAAAAUUGUUUAUUGGGCCGGCAAUGCCGUGGAAAAAAACAAAACUUCAUGAAAAAAUAUAUUCUCCCAUCACACUAAUUAUGUUUCUGAAAUGAAUGUGUGAAACAACUGUGAUCUUUAGUCAAUGCAAUUCUUAUCUUUUAAGUUUCAAGAAUUUCUGUAAAGCUUAGUAUUUGUGAAAAUAAUUCAAGUGUUUUUUUUUUUUGUGCAAAAAAUUAUUUUUUAUUUAAUUUUUUUUAUUUGGUUUUCACCUGAUAAAAUCGUUUGACAGCACCAGGCUACCAGCUACAUGCCAGGAGGCCCAGUUCAAAAUCUGUGGCGUGUGAGUUGUUUGAUAAAAGGUAGAGUGAAGAUAGGACAAUACUUGCGUUUCACGAAACAGUUGAUCUAAUUAUUAAAUAUAUUGUCACUUAGUACUACAGUAUAAUAGUAUUUCUCUUCACUUGUAAGUAAGAUGUAUUAGGUUUGAUUCUCACCAAAAACAAAUUUGAACCUUUGGUGAAUUUGAACUAUAUUAUUGCUAGUCUCUUGUGAAGCUAACCUCACUCUUCUCUUCCUUAAUGUAGAUAAUAUUGUUUGUUGAAAAAAAAAAAAGGCUAUUGAGCAUAUUGUAUUCACAAAUUGGGAUUUCAUGCUCAAAUAUUUGGGUACCAGUAAUAGUCCAUCUAAAUGUCCUACAGUUCGAGGGAAACUUACAUAUGUAUAUCUUUUUUAAAAAGAGACUUGCAACGAUAAUUUGUAGGAAGAAUACUUUUUAGGGAACUUUAACGAAAAGCAUCUGGUACUGUUCAUUUUAACGAAAAACCACAUUUUUACACUAAAAAGUCAAUCCUGGUACUAUUCACUUUACUCUUUAUUUUGUCCUUAUCAUUAAAACUCAAAGUUUUCAAACCCUUUUCAUUAGUUUUCCUUACUUUCUAACGAGCGUUUGGAAAUAACUUAUAUACAACAUACGUAUAUCUUUUUAGAAGAGACUUGGCCACAAAAAUAUAUGGGAUUUUAGCUAAAAUAGCCUUAUUUGCAAAACACAAUUCCAAAGAAGUCCAUUUUGCAAAAUAGAAUCUGCAAUGGGCACUAACUAUUGGUUAAUUGCAUAUCAGCCCAAAUUUAUUAUUAUGAUAUCAUCAUUAUUCUGUCACACUGUUGUCAUUAGCUCCAAUUUGUCAUAAUAUUAAAAUAAAAUUCAAAAAAUGAUCUUUAUGUGGUUAUUCUUGUUGUAGGCCUAUUUGACUUAACUGUAUUUAAUACAGAGAGGGAGAAGGGUCGGCGACAACAGAGAUAGAAGAGUGAGAUGUAAUUUUGAGGUAUGUGUUGUAUCAUCCUAUUGUGUCUUUAUUUAUAGUAGUAGGGAAGAUUAAAUCAUUACCCUAUUAGGAUUACAACUCUAAUAGGAAUUUAACCACUAAAGAGAAUAUACAAAGAUACUCCUAGAUACACUAGGAUUUACAUAAUCACAUUCCUAAUCCAAUAGAACUGCAACACUCCCCCUUGAGAGUGUAAAUACUCAAACAAAGCAUCACAUCAGAUCUUAAGCAGAUAAGGUAGAACAGUUGAUGAAGUCGUCGGCACAACGGGUGAAUGGGAGUCUCAAAUUUAAAAGAAAGUAUGCAUGGGUAGUAAAACUCAUAAACACUUUGCUCUAGUAAAACCUAAGGCAGGUGAAAACCCAUAGACUAAGGAGAAAAGUGAGAAGUAUGCAUAAUGUCUUAAAACAAACGUCAAAUAGGAUGAAAAUAGUGAACUCAACGGAGUAUGAUCAUCACAGGAUGAGUGCCUCGUUUAAACCUCUUUAGGUAGCAAAACCCCAGUGGGAAAAAUGUUCCUAAUCAUAAGAAAAAUAGUAUAUUAAGAUCAAGUGAGUAUGCUUCAAGAUACUCCUCUUGAGUUAUACAUAACUUCCAAAUAAGAGAAAGUAAUUCAACUCAGAUAAUUUACGCAUACCGAUUCCUUGGACGAGCUUCUGAAAAGUAGACUUAAACAAUGACUUGGUGAAGAGAUCGGCCAAGUUGUCUUGGGAACGGAUUUGCUUGACUUCAAUGUUUUGAUGAUAUUGUUGCUGGUGAGAAUAAAAUAACUUCGGCGUUAUGUGUUUGGUGUUGUCUCCCUUAAUGUAACCAUUCUUUAACUGCUCGAUACAUGUUGCAUUGUCUUUAAACAUCAUCGUAGGAAGGUCAAUGACAGAAGUAAGACCACUAGUGCUUCGAAAAUGUUCCAUGACUGCUUUCAACCAAAAGCACUCAAACAAUGCUUCAUGCAAGGUGAGAAUCUUAGCAUGGUUCGAAAAAGUCGCAACUACCGUUUGCUUGAUAGACCUACAAGAUAUAGCGGUGUCUCCAAUGGUAAAUACAUAACCUGUUUGAGAAUGUGCCCUAUAUGGGUCAGACAGAGAACCAACAUCUGUGUAACCAACGAGGUGAGAAUAAACUCAAGUGACAGAGGGGGGCGGUGGCUUCUCUCAAGGAUUCAUGGGUG